rnacentral:rRNA from 1 species
UAGUCCACGCCGUAAACGAUGUCAACUAGCCGUUGGGAGCAUAUAAGCUCUGAGUGGCGCAGCUAACGCGAUAAGUUGACCGCCUGGGGAGUACGCCGGCAACGGUAAAACUCAAAGGAAUUGACGGGGGCCCGCACAAGCGGUGGAGCAUGUGGUUUAAUUCGAUGCAACGCGAAAAACCUUACCUACCCUUGACAUCCUCAGAACUUGUUAGAGAUAACUUGGUGCCUUCGGGAAUGUGAACACAGGUGGUGCACGGCUGUCGUCAGCUCGUGUCGUGAGAUGUUGGGUUAAGUCCCGCAACGAGCGCAACCCUUGUCUUUAGUUGCCAUCAUUAAGUUGGGCACUUUAAAGAGACUGCCGGUGACAAACCGGAGGAAGGUAAGGAUGACGUCAAGUCAGCAUGCCCCUUAUGCUCUGGGCUACACACGUGCUACAAUGGCCGUGACAAAGAGUUGCUACUUUGUGAAAACAAGCUAAUCUCAUAAACGCGGCCUCAGUUCGGAUUGCG